rnacentral:rRNA from 1 species
GAUGAACGCUGGCGGCGUGCCUAAUACAUGCAAGUCGAGCGAACAGAUGAGGAGCUUGCUCCUCUGACGUUAGCGGCGGACGGGUGAGUAACACGUGGAUAACCUACCUAUAAGACUGGGAUAACUUCGGGAAACCGGAGCUAAUACCGGAUAAUAUAUUGAACCGCAUGGUUCAAUAGUGAAAGACGGUUUUGCUGUCACUUAUAGAUGGAUCCGCGCCGCAUUAGCUAGUUGGUAAGGUAACGGCUUACCAAGGCAACGAUGCGUAGCCGACCUGAGAGGGUGAUCGGCCACACUGGAACUGAGACACGGUCCAGACUCCUACGGGAGGCAGCAGUAGGGAAUCUUCCGAAAUGGGCGAAAGCCUGACGGAGCAACGCCGCGUGAGUGAUGAAGGUCUUCGGAUCGUAAAACUCUGUUAUUAGGGAAGAACAAAUGUGUAAGUAACUAUGCACGUCUUGACGGUACCUAAUCAGAAGGCCACGGCUAACUACG